GACGAACGCUGGCGGCAUGCCUAACACAUGCAAGUCGAGCGAGUAGAUCCCUUCGGGGUGAAGCUAGCGGCGGACGGGUGAGUAACACGUGGGCAACCUGCCUCAUAGAGGGGAAUAGCCUUCCGAAAGGAAGAUUAAUACCGCAUAAGAUUGUAGCUUCGCAUGAAGCAGCAAUUAAAGGAGCAAUCCGCUAUGAGAUGGGCCCGCGGCGCAUUAGCUAGUUGGUGAGGUAACGGCUCACCAAGGCGACGAUGCGUAGCCGACCUGAGAGGGUGAUCGGCCACAUUGGGACUGAGACACGGCCCAGACUCCUACGGGAGGCAGCAGUGGGGAAUAUUGCACAAUGGGGAAAACCUGAUGCAGCAAUGCCGCGUGAGUGAUGACGGCCUUCGGGUUGUAAAGCUCUGUCUUCGGGGACGAUAAUGACGGUACCCGAGGAGGAAGCCACGGCUAACUACGUGCCAGCAGCCGCGGUAA
rnacentral:rRNA from 1 species